AACACUUCUCGAUGUCUCCUCCAUCUUUUCCACCGCUCGCCUUCUCUGUUAGGUUUCCCUUAACCCUACACACUUUCGGGUCGUUGCACCUCGCUAUCACCUGUGUAUCGAGCUUUAAAGUGACCGAAGGUCAUGAAACAGAGGUUGAAGAAGCCACCGGUUUCUCCAUGUUUUCGUCGACACAGAGUCACCAUCCACUGCCUGCCGGUUACCUUCCGCCUACCAACGUCAUUCUGUCGGUCUUUACGACCUUCGUUUUGCUGAAAAUGGACUCGACAAUCGACCAGUGUUCGACUUCGAUCGUGUAUACUCGACUGUCUAAAAUCGACCUGCGGUCACAUCACUUCUCUAAAACUAAACAACGACGCCCUGGUAAGCGGUAAUUUAUCGUUUUCCUGCCCUGAUUCGUCAUACUCUAUCCUUUAUUCUGCCCUAAUUCGUCAUAUGUGAUGUUGUUGGUAGUUCAUAGUCAAACGAUAGUAGUAGCACUGUUAACAUGCCGAUUAGGUCAUUCUUUGCACGUCUGAAACAUGUCUUACUGAGUUACUACGAAAGGGGGCAACUUGGGUUCCUUUACCCCCCCAUUUCUAAGGUUACAUAGCUUUAAAAUUUCGAUACCUUCAUCAAACUGCUCGAAUUUUUUUUUCAAGUCAAUCCUUUGUUCGAUUUUGGUACGCUUUUGCAUUUACUAACAGAUUGGAUUUGGAAUUUGGAAAUUAUCUGAUUUUGAGUAUUUGUGUAAUAGGAUCAAGUAAUAAGCUGAAAAGAACUGUAUGAGAUAGUGUUUGGAUAUAACAUCCAAAACCGAUUGUGUGAAACUCAAUUUUAGUUCACUUUUGUUGUUUCCCAGGACAUUGAAACACCUCAUUGUUUAUAUGAAGUGCAUGUGUUGUAGCUUAUCUUUUGUUUCUCAAUUCAUGAAAAAAUUAAAGUUGAAAAACGGACCUUUUUUAAUCAUUUAGGAGUGUUUGGAUGUGCAAUUGCACCAUUUUAGCUCCUUCGAUGAUCACAAUAUCCAGAGAUUGGGUAAAAGUAUAAUCAUUAUGUUGGCACCAUUUAGUGUGAGUGCUUAUUCUGAUAAGUUCACAAUACUUACAGAAAAGCAUGCAAUCCCAUUCCCAAAUCCUUUUGAUAAUAAAGGGAAACUAUGUUAUAAGGUAAUUAAUUACUUUCUUUUUUUCAUUAAUUACCAAUUUGACGUUGCUUACAUGUUGCAAAAGUUAUGAUGAACAUUAACCUUGUAUUUCGAAUGGAUGAACUAUGUAUGGAUUUUACUAAACUGAUAAACUAUUCGAUUCAGUUUAAGCCAAUUUGUGAGUAGGUUAGGACAGAAAGCUGAAGUAUACCCUGUUUUGCAGCUAAAGAGGUAAUUGUAACAAGCUUCAUAUUCAUUCAGAUCAAAUGUUUUAAAUAAGCAUCUUCAUCAUUAGAAAUCUUUUAAGUUCGUCAUUAGAAAUCUUAUAUGAUAGCUUUUGGUUGUUGUAAUUAAGUCUUGAGAAUUGGUUUACGCUUUAUAUAUCUUUUUGAUAUAUUUGUUUUGUGAUUUUUGUUUUAUUUGACAAUAGAUAAUAUGAGUUUUCCUUUUAUAUUAUAUGGUUUGUGUAAGAGCUAGCAUCAAUUUUUGGAUUUUUUUUUCCAGUUGACAAAAGCUGUUUACUUUCAGUUGAUGCAAUUUUCUUUAGCUAGGGCACACAUUAUUUUUUUUAAGUUGAGCAUUACAUUUUCAACUUUUUCUGAACACAGUUUCACGUCAAACUUUAGACGAUAAUAUGUUUUGAUUUAUGUGACAUUUGUUCUUCUGAUUAAAAGGUAUUCUUUUGUAUUUUGAUUCAUUUAUUUAUAUCAUUUGGUACACUAAAGUAUUAAGUUUGUGGAUGGUUUUUAGAUUGAUAUUAGUUUUUUAGAUCAUCUUCAUCUGCUGUUAAAAAGUAGAAACUGAAAUUUGUUUUCAAUUUCAAUGGAGUAUUCGACAAUGACUGGUGAGUUUAAUAACUUAUAAGUAGAAACUGAAAUUUGUUUUUCACACUGUACACAAAAUAAAUAAAGUAGUAAAUGACCAUGUUACCCUCGCAUGUGAAGCAGAGGCUGGUUUAGGAAGGUGUUGAAACGAAAUUUACUAAUAGACACCACAGCUCCUCUUCAUGUGAGCUCUUCAUGGGUAUAUGAUAACGUCAAUUUUUCCUUCCUUUUUUUAUUAAAAAAAAUCCCUUUAGCCUCAUGAAAUUCCAAUCGUCCCUAUCAUGCACUUUUUGAAUAAUGUUAACUAUCAUUUGCAACCCACUUCACUUUCAAACUAUAUAAUUUGUAUAUUUAAAAGGCAUUUUACUUUCUUCGAGUAUAUUUCAUUUUUUUGUAUUAAAAUUGCAUUAUAUGUUUUUGCUAUGUAAUUUUUUGUAAUUUAGUCUAACAAUAUUAUUAAGAACAUAAACCAUUGACAUUGAUUAAAAAAUAGUUAAAAGAAAACUUAAUCAACAUAUUAACAACUAAUAUCAAAUAAACCUCAAACCUACAUAGAAAUGAUUGUCCCUCUAUAUUUGUUCAUGAAACCAAAUUUCAAAAAGACUAUUAGUUGUUAAUAUAUGUUUCUUGAUUUUUGAAAACGCUAUUUCUAAGAUGGAUCUAAUUAAUAAAAACAUGAAAGGGUCCUAUUAUUCUGCCUCCCCCCUUAAAAAACCCUUAUUCACGUGCUUUUUUUGUUUCCUUUCAUCCACUUGCCGUUUUUUCUCCAAUCAACUUACUAUUUGGAGCUCAUGGUCCCUGUACUUUCAACAAUUGUUAAAAUACACCCAAAUGUAGUUUUCCUUUGUAUAUCUUCUUCAAAAUUCAUCACAUCACUCGACUAUUAACUUCUUGUAUAUCUUCAUGAAAAUUCAUCACAUCACUUGCCUAUUAUCUUCUUGAAACGUCUUAUAACUUUUUAAGAUAAAAAACAUAGUACCCUUAAAUUAAUGAACUUGAUACUCUCUUUUCAUUCCUUCCCCUUUUUUAUUUUUACGGCUAUAACUAGUUUUGUCAAAAACGUACAAAAAAAAUAUUCAUAACUUAUAGCUUUUGGCGACCACAUAAACAAAUUAAAACAUUUUUUGAAUUUCUUUUUGCUACCAGAUAAGCUAAUAAACACUUUUAUCGAAAAGUGCUCUUUAUUUUGAAACACAAUCCAAGCAUAAAACUUUAUGUGCAUUUGUUGACUUUUUUAAAAUAUUAAAUCCAGUUUCGGUUAAUACAUGUAGAAGCCUAAAGAAGAGUUAUUACUUGGCUUUAACAUAGCACAACAAAAAACGUACCACGACAAAAGGCGUCGCAAUUGAUGCCCCUUGUUGUCGCUAUUAGCGUCGUCUCUAUUGAUAUUCCGGCCACCGGUCAAUGUUUUUCUGGCUACUCUUCCUAGAAUCAGUAGUUGUCGCAAUUGGCCAAUGUCGUCCCUAAAUGUGUCAUUGCUAAUGUUUUUUUUUCUUUUUUUUGAAAAAACAAUUUAUUUAUGAUAUUAGUUUAUAUAUAUUAUAAAGUGCGGAUGUGAUAAAAAUACAUAAGUAAAUACAUACGACAUUACAUGAAACAUCAAAUAUACCACAUUACAUAAACUAUCUAAUAAAUCCGAAAUAAACAUCAAAUAUAUUGUCCAUAAACUAUCUAAUAAAUCCAAAAUAACAUAAUUCAUAACAUAAAACAAGAAAUAUUAUGUGCCUUCGUCUUCCCCAUCAUUGUUUUCCUCGUUGUUGAAGCUAAGAAUGGAACUAUGGAUGGUGAACUUAGAGCAUGGCAUGAAUGAACAAUUGAUUUUUCUCCGAGGUGUGGUAAGAUAAUAUGGAUUGGGGAUGAACUAAAGCAAAUACACCCUAGAAAUGAAUCCAAGUUGUCCGAUCAUGAUCCGGUGAAGGCGAUAUUUUCUACCGAAGUUAAAGUCUCAAGAUAGAAUAUCAAAACCUUUGCAUUUUAGAUAGGUUUCCAUAACUAUUUUCGUUCGAAUAAUCAUUUUGUAUUAUUUAUUAGUAUAAGUUAUUUGUAAAUUAAAAAAUAUACAUAUUAUUUAAUCACGUACAACCCUUAUGUACGGCCUAUUCACAAUAGAUCGAGCCUUAUCAAUUAUUAAUUA